AGGAGAACGAAGCAUGACAAAAUUUUAUUGAGUGGCAAUCCCAUGCAAGGCCUGAGCUAGGCACAGUUUGUAUUACAAUUGUAUUUACAACCUCUUAAAUCACUCAGAUCCCCUCUAUGUCUCUGAUUACUUUUAAUCUCUAACUGAUGAAAGAUUAGGCCUAACAUUUUGUUCUUGUAUCUCGGUUGUAAGAAGCACAUACCAAUCCCUCCAGUUUAUCGCCUGUGAUUUCUUAAUGUGGAUAAAACCCCAUAUAUGCAGUUAAAAAAAAACACUUGGCUAAGAAGUUAUAGCAGUGUCUAAACUUACCCAGAAUGGAAAGCCUUAACUAAUAGAAGCAGUGAAAAAACUGAUUUUCUUAUAUUUUGUUUCUGGGUUCCCUACCUCUUUGUUGCCAUUGAUGACAUAGAUUUGCCUCUCUUACUUGUGCCCUGGUCCAGUGUGGCUUC
rnacentral:lncRNA from 1 species